rnacentral:rRNA from 1 species
CGCAAGUGUAUUCCUAUACUGUUGCGUUUAAAUAGCUCGUAGUUGGAUCUGCGUGUUUAGCGCGCGGUGCUGCUUUCUUGCAGCUACUGUGACGCGACACUGUACGUUGACUACAUACUUCGUAAGUACGUAGACAACAAGUUUACUUUGAACAAAUCAGAGUGCUCAAAACGGGCGUUUCGCUCGAAUGUUCUUGCAUGGAAUAAUGGAAUAGGGCCGCGCGUUCUAUUUUGUUGGUUUUCGGGACGCGGGUAAUGAUUAAGAGGGACAGACGGGGGCAUUUGUACUGCGACGUGAGAGGUGAAAUUCUUGGAUCGUCGCAAGACAGACUACUGCGAAAGCAUUUGCCAAGAAUGUUUUCAUUAA